GAUUGCCCCAGUAACGGCGAGUGAAGCGGCAACAGCUCAAAUUUGAAAUCUGGCCCCCAGGGUCCGAGUUGUAAUUUGUAGAGGAUGCUUUUGGCGCGGCGCCUUCCGAGUUCCCUGGAACGGGACGCCAUAGAGGGUGAGAGCCCCGUCUGGUUGGAAGCCAAGCCUAUGUAAAGCUCCUUCGACGAGUCGAGUAGUUUGGGAAUGCUGCUCUAAAUGGGAGGUAUAUGUCUUCUAAAGCUAAAUACCGGCCAGAGACCGAUAGCGCACAAGUAGAGUGAUCGAAAGAUGAAAAGCACUUUGAAAAGAGGGUUAAAUAGUACGUGAAAUUGUUGAAAGGGAAGCACUUAUGACCAGACUUGGGCCCGGUUGAUCAUCCAGCGUUCUCGCUGGUGCACUCUGCCGGCCCAGGCCAGCAUCAGUUCGCCCCGGGGGAUAAAGGUUUCGGGAAUGUGGCUCCUCGGAGUGUUAUAGCCCGUUGCGUAAUACCCUGAGGCGGACUGAGGUUCGCGCUCCGCAAGGAUGCUGGCGUAAUGGUCAUCAGUGACCCGUCUUGAAACACGGACCAAGGAGUCGUCUUCGUAUGCGAGUGUUCGGGUGUCAAACCCCUACGCGUAAUGAAAGUGAACGCAGGUGAGAGCUUCGGCGCAUCAUCGACCGAUCCUGAUGUUCUCGGAUGGAUUUGAGUAAGAGCAUACGGGGCCGGACCCGAAAGAAGGUGAACUAUGCCUGUAUAGGGUGAAGCCAGAGGAAACUCUGGUGGAGGCUCGCAGCGGUUCUGACGUGCAAAUCGAUCC
rnacentral:rRNA from 1 species